GAUGAACGCUGGCGGCGUGCCUAAUACAUGCAAGUCGAGCGAACAGACGAGGAGCUUGCUCCUCUGAUGUUAGCGGCGGACGGGUGAGUAACACGUGGAUAACCUACCUAUAAGACUGGGAUAACUUCGGGAAACCGGAGCUAAUACCGGAUAACAUUUUGAACCGCAUGGUUCAACAGUGAAAGACGGUCUUUCUUUCACUUAUAGAUGGAUCCGCGCCGCAUUAGCUAGUUGGUAAGGUAACGGCUUACCAAGGCAACGAUGCGUAGCCGACCUGAGAGGGUGAUCGGCCACACUGGAACUGAGACACGGUCCAGACUCCUACGGGAGGCAGCAGUAGGGAAUCUUCCGCAAUGGGCGAAAGCCUGACGGAGCAACGCAGCGUGAGUGAAGAAGGUCUUCGGAUCGUAAAACUCUGUUAUUAGGGAAGAACACAUGUGUAAGUAAAUAUGCACGUCUUGACGGUACCUAAUCAGAAAGCCACGGCUAACUACGUG
rnacentral:rRNA from 1 species